rnacentral:lncRNA from 1 species
CCUGGGAAGGAAAGAGAAAGAUGCCAACCUGAGGGACGGGGUGGCAAGGGGAGGGGAGAGAACAGCAUGGGGCUGAGCUGGAGAUGUUCCCCUUGUCCGUGCCCCACAGGUUGCAGGGAUAAUAACUCCAGUAGAAGUUCUGCGACCAGCUGUGGGAAACUGAUGGGCAGUUGGUGGAGUGGCCGGCCUCUGCAAAGUGGCCUGAUCGGAUUCCUGAGCUUCUAGGUCAUCGGGCAGGACUGCGACUGGCCGGAGCCAAUGCUACUCCCUCCUGACCUUGAAAGGUGUGACAAGUGGACUUGCAUUCAUUGCUCUACAAGCCUCUAUUGAGUAUCUGUGAUGUCCUGGCAUCGAUCUUAUCUGUGUGAGAAUUUGGUGAGCCAGCAAAGGAGUAAGUAGAGGAAAUGAGAAAAAAUAUGUUUGACAUUAAUUAACAACAAUAAAGAAACAAACUAGAGACA